GAUAAACGCUGGCGGCGUGCUUAACACAUGCAAGUCGAACGAAGUUUUUCUUUCGGGAGGAACUUAGUGGCGGACGGGUGAGUAACGCGUGGGUAACCUGCCCUGUACAGGGGGACAACAGCUGGAAACGGCUGCUAAUACCGCAUAAGCCCUUAGCACUGCAUGGUGCAUAGGGAAAAGGAGCAAUCCGGUACAGGAUGGACCCGCGUCUGAUUAGCCAGUUGGCAGGGUAACGGCCUACCAAAGCGACGAUCAGUAGCCGAUCUGAGAGGAUGUACGGCCACAUUGGGACUGAGACACGGCCCAGACUCCUACGGGAGGCAGCAGUGGGGAAUAUUGCACAAUGGAGGAAACUCUGAUGCAGCGACGCCGCGUGAGUGAAGAAGUAUUUCGGUAUGUAAAGCUCUAUCAGCAGGAAAGAAAAUGACGGUACCUGACUAAGAAGCACCGGCUAACUACGUG
rnacentral:rRNA from 1 species